GUGCCAGCAGCCGCGGUAAUACGAAGGGGACUAGCGUUGUUCGGAAUCACUGGGCGUAAAGGGUGCGUAGGCGGGUCUUUAAGUCAGGGGUGAAAUCCUGGAGCUCAACUCCAGAACUGCCUUUGAUACUGGGAGACUUCGAGUCCGGGAGAGGUGAGUGGAACUGCGAGUGUAGAGGUGAAAUUCGUAGAUAUUCGCAAGAACACCAGUGGCGAAGGCGGCCAUCUGGCCCACAAUUGACGCUGAGGCGCGAAAGCGUGGGGAGCAAACAGGAUUAGAUACCCCUGUAGUCC
rnacentral:rRNA from 1 species